GACGAACGCUGGCGGCGUGCUUAACACAUGCAAGUCGAACGAUGAACCCGGAGCUUGCUCCGGUGGAUUAGUGGCGAACGGGUGAGUAACACGUGAGUAACCUGCCCUUGACUCUGGGAUAACUGCGGGAAACUGUAGCUAAUACCGGAUACGACCCUCGGCGGCAUCGCCAGGGGGUGGAAAGAAUUUCGGUCAUGGAUGGACUCGCGGCCUAUCAGCUAGUUGGUGAGGUAACGGCUCACCAAGGCGACGACGGGUAGCCGGCCUGAGAGGGUGACCGGCCACACUGGGACUGGGAGACGGCCCAGACUCCUACGGGAGGCAGCAGUGGGGAAUAUUGCACAGUGGGCGCAAGCCUGAUGCAGCAACGCCGCGUGAGGGAUGACGGCCUUCGGGUUGUAAACCUCUUUCAGCACCGACGAAGCGCAAGUGACGGUAGGUGCAGAAGAAGGACCGGCCAACUACGUGCCAGCCGCCGCAGUAA
rnacentral:rRNA from 1 species